rnacentral:lncRNA from 1 species
GAAAUUUUGAUAGCUGUAUUUCAUAAAAAAAAUAUUAUGAUCAAAAAACAACAUUUAUGUAUGUAUAAUUUGUAGUAAACGUAUAAUUUUCAGAUAAUAUUUUGUACAUACCUACUUAAUAUUUUUGUGCAUACUUAAUAUUUUUGUGCUAGGCUGUUCUGAUUUUUCAACAGGUUCAUAAAUCUACUUAUCUUGGGCAGAAUCAAUAAGAAGAAGAAAUAUCAAAAUCGUCCAGUUUCGAAAAAUGGUAAUAUGUCGGUAAUGUUCCAGGUAAGGACAUGUAUGUAAGGUACAAAAAUAAAUAACUAUUUUUUUUAUAAGUCAACCUUCAAUUACAAGGUAAAUAUAAAAUAGAGCCUACCACUACUAAUUUGUAAAAUAACUGGUUUAAUAGCAAAUCUAAAUAAAUAUAAAAAUGUUAUCACAUUACCACCGUCUCUAAAUAAUUAAUUUAUGUUGCCAAAACUUGAAUAUUAAUGGCACGCUUUGAAAUAGGCUCAAUAAAUUAAUUUUGACGCAAUUCUGUGUAAGCACUUAAUAUAGCCACAUCAGUUUUUUAUAAUGCAUGAUAAAUGUCAAGAUAAUUAUUAUUUUAUCUAUUUUUAUUGAUUUCCUUAUUAUUAUAUUUUUAACUUUCUUAUCUUUUUGAGUUUUGGCUCAUCAACGUUUUUCAUUUCCGCACCAAAAGCAGCAAUGUUUGGUAAAGACACCAGCACAUCAAGCUACUACAAUCUAAUUUAAAUUUUAUCCCUAAUGUAUAAGGUACAAUAUCGAUCGGAAAAUUAUAUAGAUCGGAGAAGCUUGACAUGCUGGAAAAAAAUGAAAAGACUUAUCCUACAGCAGAAGCAGAUUCUAACAUCAUUACGACCUUUCACCACUACCUUCAUCAAUCUUUAUUUCUUUGGAGAAGUGACAUCAUCUUUACAGGAUCCAAUUCAAGGUUCGGUGAAGACGGUCUACUGGCUCACGCUACAUCCUAGGAAGAAUAACGACUGACGGCAACAAGGGUUUAGAGCCAAACCCAGAAGACAAGAGAGGUGAAAAUCCGGUGAGAGGGCGCCUACUGCUGGGUACUCAAUGAAACUUAGCGUCAUCUAAAUCCGGGCGGUGGGCGUCGGACCACUCGACCUUGUGCUCGAGACAACCCUGGCACCACGACGAGCGAUUUCACCUCACCACCACCGAGUGAAGCGGACCACACCACAUACAUUACUGGCUAUGUACGAGCACACCGAACUAUCGCUGGUCAAACACAGCGAUGUAUAUCGAACAACGCUUGGGGCCGUCCGUAGUCCGCGCUCGGUAUCCGACGCGCGCCUCCAGUCUCGUUUGCCAAUUUCGCGCACAAGUUCAUCGACUCUUCACAAGGAUGCAUGAAUCAAGUGUAAUGAUACGAUACGGCAUCGCCGCUUGUUCCGACCGGACGGUUGCCGCAUUGUUUUAGGAACACUGACCUGAAUUAACAUUGUUUAAUGUUGUAUAGACUUCAAUGAGUUGUGUAAAUUGUAGCUUUUUAUUUUUACAAUUAGGUACAAUCAAACUUUUUGGCGGUAAAUGAACUUUGUUUAGCGAAGGCGUUGUAUAGAAAAACAUUGUAAAUAAAUAUUAUAUGUUUUACUGUAA